AUGCAUGCAAAGCAGGCACUCUCCUACUGCUCCACAGCCCUUUCCCGCAAAAGAUCCCUGUUUCUGAGGCAGACUCAGAGGCUCCCUUUACAUAACCGCCUCACCACCUGGCAGCUCCGCACACCUUCGCCAGGAGGAUGCGAGAAGUGGAGCGCGGUGGGGGUGGGCUUAUCCACACCCAGCGCCCUCAACGCCCCCCCCCCGCGCGCGCGGACUCGAGAGACAGUUUCUUCUGCCACGAGGAAGGAGAGGCGUGAGGUAGGAAACAACACGCGUCUCCCUCCCUCCGCACGGUAUUCCCACGACCAGCAGGUCCCUCACCUUCGUGGGAAAGCGACAACUUUUACUAGGGUAGACAGUGAGAUGAAUAACAGUUCUUGGCAGAAGACGGAUUGCAGCAGAAUGGAAACCAUGAUGAGUGCAACAAAUACAGAAUGGGAACCCCUUCCUUCUUACAUCUCUACUUCAGAGAGAGGAUGCUUGCAGACUAUUUUCCGCUGGGAUUCAAUCACAUGCCAUCAAAUUCAGGCUGAAAAAUUAAAGCCCCUACUUUGGGGGUUGUUUUUCUGGUAAGAAGAAUGAUGAGGAAAUGCACUGGAAAGUGUGGGGCAAUUCUUGCUCAAUCCUGACCUCCCCACAAACAAAUCACUAUGUUGUCUAAUCUCAUUGCAAACAAAUCAGGAUGAAAGCUCAGUAAACAGGACCAGGAUCUGUCACAAGCACCCUUUCCUUAGGAGUGGCAAGCAAACCUGUUUUUUCUACUUGAUGGAGACACCAGUGUCUCUGCACCAUCAACAACUGAACUCUCACCUAAGUCCUAUCUGCAGGACCAGCAACCAGCACACCUACUUCUAAGGAAAGGUGCAAAGUUUGGCAUGCUUUAACAAGCUGGGAAACACAACAGUGCAAGGCUCAGGGAGGCAGGAACAGGCUUACCAAAGGUUUUUUUAAAAUAAUAAUUUUUAUUAGUUUUCAAUUACAAUAAUCCAUUAUAACAAUGCCAAAUCAUAAUACAAUUACUAAUACCAAUAAUUCAGAUGCCCAAUUAUAUAAUUUAGGUGGCCCCCGCAUGGUAGAAUUGAUGGUUUGAUUUACUUUAUUUCUGUGUUCCAAAAUCUUAUUAAUUUCAAUUACACUCCAGUCAAAAUAACACUCCCUUGUAAAACAACUGCAAUUGUAACAACUUCCAUUUGUAUUGACACAUUAAAUGAUUUAUAAAACUACAGGUGAAGCAUUCAAACUACCGCAUAUCCUUGUUCUUCCUGUGUGUGGCAAUUAUUCUGUCCGUGGUGUUUCUUUGUAAAACAUUAUGUCUAUCUUUUCCCGGUUGUUGCUGCUCUCCAUCAUGCCUUGGGCAGACCUAAUACCCCAUUGUUGUUUCAGAAGUUCUCCAUUGCUCCGUCCUGUGCUUCAUUGUUUUGCAACUUUAGCAGCAGCUGCAAAAGUCACACCAGGUUUACCAAAUAUUUAAGAGUAAAUCAAGUACUUGUUGAUGCAAGGAAUCACUCAGCUGCAGACUUCUGUCCUCAUUCCCAUCUUCACUUGGUGUACAGUGGUAUCUCAGGUUAAGAACUUAAUUCGUUCUGGAGGUCCGUUCUUAACCUGAAACUGUUCUUAACCUGAGGUACUUUAGCUAAUGGGGCCUCCUGCUGCUGCCACACCGCCGGAGCACGAUUUCUGUUCUCAUCCUGAAGCAAAGUUCUACUUCCAGGUUAGCGGAGUCUGUAACCUGAAGCGUCUGUAACCCGAGGUACCACUGAACAAUGCAAAGGCAUUGGAUACACCCACUUUUUUAUUCAUGCAUUUAUAAAAUAAUGCUUAUUCCACCUUUCAGUACUACAUGGGGGUUGCAUCCCAGCUCAUGGUCCCACAUUAUAUUGUUGUUGUUGUUGAAAAUAAAACAGGCUGCUAAAACACAUAGCAGCACGGGAAUAAAGUUAAAUAGACUUAUGUGGAAGAUAGGUGAUUGUAUCUCACAUCUAUUAAAAAGCUGUCAUGAAGAAAGGAACCCAAUUGAAUCAGGACUGUGGUUUGUUUUCUCCUAAGAACAGAAUAAGAGCUUGCUGGAUCAGGCCAGUUGCCCAUGUAGUCCAGCAUCUGGUUCUCACAUGGCUAACAAGAUACUUCUGGGAAACCUAUCAAGAAGGACCUGAAUGCAACAGGUCUCACUCCUGUAAUUCCCAGGAACUCCUAUUCAGCCAGGGAGCCAGAGCGUAGCCACCCUUGCUAGCAGUCACUGGUGGCCUUCUCCUUCGUGAAUUUGUCCAGUCCUCUUUUAAAACCAUUCAAGUUGGUUGUUGCCACAACUGCAUCCUUUGGGAGUAAAUUCUGUAGUUGAACUAUGAGUUGUGUGUAGAAGUACUUUGUGUGCGUUUUUCUCUGGAAUCCUCCCAAGUUUUAGGAUUAUGAGAGAAAAAGUGUGAUUGCAAAAAGCCUCAAAUGUUGCAACCUGGAGCAAAUCGCAGCAGGGAACAGCAAUUGACAUCAGGAAAAUGAUGUGAGAGGGGAAAGGUUAAACCGCUCCUAUUCCAUCACUGCAGUCCUGAUUCCAAUCUCU
ensembl:lncRNA